rnacentral:rRNA from 1 species
GACGAACGCUGGCGGCGUGCUUAACACAUGCAAGUCGAACGGAAAGGCCCUUUCGGGGGUGCUCGAGUGGCGAACGGGUGAGUAACACGUGGGUGAUCUGCCCUGCACUUUGGGAUAAGCCUGGGAAACUGGGUCUAAUACCGGAUAGGACUACGAAUCGCAUGGUUUGUGGUGGAAAGCUUUUGCGGUGUGGGAUGGGCCCGCGGCCUAUCAGCUUGUUGGUGGGGUGAUGGCCUACCAAGGCGACGACGGGUAGCCGGCCUGAGAGGGUGUCCGGCCACACUGGGACUGAGAUACGGCCCAGACUCCUACGGGAGGCAGCAGUGGGGAAUAUUGUACAAUGGGCGCAAGCCUGAUGCAGCGACGCCGCGUGGGGGAUGACGGCCUUCGGGUUGUAAACCUCUUUCGGUAGGGACGAAGCGUAAGUGACGGUACCUAUAGAAGAAGCACCGGCCAACUACGUGCCAGCAGCCGCGGUAAUACGUAGGGUGCGAGCGUUGUCCGGAAUUACUGGGCGUAAAGAGCUCGUAGGUGGUUUGUCGCGUUGUUCGUGAAAACUCACAGCUUAACUGUGGGCGUGCGGGCGAUACGGGCAGACUGGAGUACUGCAGGGGAGACUGGAAUUCCUGGUGUAGCGGUGGAAUGCGCAGAUAUCAGGAGGAACACCGGUGGCGAAGGCGGGUCUCUGGGCAGUAACUGACGCUGAGGAGCGAAAGCGUGGGGAGCGAACAGGAUUAGAUACCCCUGGUAGUCCACGCCGUAAACGGUGGGUACUAGGUGUGGGUUUCCUUCCUUGGGAUCCGUGCCGUAGCUAACGCAUUAAGUACCCCGCCUGGGGAGUACGGCCGCAAGGCUAAAACUCAAAGGAAUUGACGGGGGCCCGCACAAGCGGCGGAGCAUGUGGAUUAAUUCGAUGCAACGCGAAGAACCUUACCUGGGUUUGACAUACACAGGACGUGCCUAGAGAUAGGUAUUCCCUUGUGGUCUGUGUGCAGGUGGUGCAUGGCUGUCGUCAGCUCGUGUCGUGAGAUGUUGGGUUAAGUCCCGCAACGAGCGCAACCCUUGUCUCAUGUUGCCAGCACGUGAUGGUGGGGACUCGUGAGAGACUGCCGGGGUCAACUCGGAGGAAGGUGGGGAUGACGUCAAGUCAUCAUGCCCCUUAUGUCCAGGGCUUCACACAUGCUACAAUGGCCGGUACAAAGGGCUGCGAUGCCGUGAGGUGGAGCGAAUCCUUUCAAAGCCGGUCUCAGUUCGGAUCGGGGUCUGCAACUCGACCCCGUGAAGUCGGAGUCGCUAGUAAUCGCAGAUCAGCAACGCUGCGGUGAAUACGUUCCCGGGCCUUGUACACACC